rnacentral:rRNA from 1 species
GGGAGCCUGAGAAACGGCUACCACUUCCAAGGAAGGCAGCAGGCGCGCAAAUUACCCAAUCCCGACACGGGGAGGUAGUGACAAUAAAUAACAAUACGGGGCUCUUUAGGGUCUCCUAAUUGGAACGAGUACAAUUUAAAUCCCUUAACGAGGAACAAUUGGAGGGCAAGUCUGGUGCCAGCAGCCGCGGUAAUUCCAGCUCCAAUAGCGUAUAUUAAAGUUGUUGCAGUUAAAAAGCUCGUAGUUGAAUUUCGGGAUUGACGUGACGGUCGUGCCUUACGGGGUAUGAACUGUUGCUGUUGAUUUCUCACCUUCUGGAGAAACUUGAUGUCCUUAAUUGGGUGUCUUGCGGAUCCAGGACCUUUACCUUGAAAAAAUUAGAGUGCUUAAAGCAGGCAUUUUUGCUCGAAUACAUUAGCAUGGAAUAAUAGAAUAGGACGGCAUGGUUCUAUUUUGUUGGUUUCUAGGAUCACCGUAAUGAUUAAUAGGGAUAGUUGGGGGCAUUAGUAUUCAAUUGUCAGAGGUGAAAUUCUUGGAUUUACUGAAGACUAACUACUGCGAAAGCAUUUGCCAAGGAUGUUUUCAUUAAUCAAGAACGAAAGUUAGGGGAUCGAAGACGAUCAGAUACCGUCGUAGUCUUAACCAUAAACUAUGCCGACUAGGAAUCAGACGAUGUUAAUUUUUUAAUGACUCGUUUGGCACCUUACGGGAACA